GACGAACGCUGGCGGCGUGCCUAACACAUGCAAGUCGAGCGAGAAACUUCGGUUUCUAGCGGCGGACGGGUGAGUAACACGUGGGUAACCUGCCUCAAACAGGGGGAUAGCCUUUCGAAAGGAAGAUUAAUACCGCAUAACAUAGUUUAGUCGCAUGGCUAGAUUAUCAAAGGAGUAAUCCGGUUUGAGAUGGACCCCGCGGCGCAUUAGCUAGUUGGUGAGGUAACGGCCCACCAAGGCGACGAUGCGUAGCCGACCUGAGAGGGUGAUCGGCCACAUUGGAACUGAGAUACGGUCCAGACUCCUACGGGAGGCAG
rnacentral:rRNA from 1 species